UUUUUUCUCUAUAUUUUGCGUAGGUGUCUCUUAUACAGGGUGUUUGUAUAACUUUCCCCAAUCAGUUCCGAUAGUUUCUCCAUGCUUUAGUUUUGUUCUUCUUCGUCUCCCAAUCACUUCCGAUAGUUCCCCUGCUUUAGUUUUGUUCUUCUCAAUAAACUUGGUGUAUCUUCUGAUUCGAAGGUGGUCGCUCCGAUUAUAUUUUUAUAAAUCAAUACUAAUAUAUGUUAUUUGAUAUUGCAGGGAGGAAUCAGAAUUAGGGAGAUGGUUUUUCUGGAGGAAUCAGAAUUAGGCAGAUGAUUUGGUAAAGCAUCUUCGACGGCCUAAUUAACUUUAUCCAGUCCAUGCUUGGAAUGAGUAGGAAGUGGGAUUUUUUUGUGCUGCAGAUUGAAAGUACCACCUUUAGUCAUGACGACGUUUGUUGUUACGGCUGCAGAGUUGGGAUUCGGCACUGCCUUUGGAAUGGGUGAUGGGGAUUAAGCAAUAAAACAUGUAAUUGUUGCACUCUAUCUUGAAAAGUCCUUUACUGAAGAAAUGUUAGCGGUUCAGUACAGUAUAUUUCAAAGUCUUUUGUUCAUUUAAUUUCUUGACUUGAAUUCUUUGGCUUAUUUAUUGAGUUUUCAAACACCUGCAAAGGUUUGGAUGUUUCUCUUAAAUGUUUGGAAUUAAUCAGAGUGAAACAAAUUAGAGU